AGUGCUGAAUGCAGGAUCUUACAUACAGCAGGAGAUCAACAAGAAGGAUGUGCGAGCCACCAGCAGUUUAACCAAUUCUGAGAUGCAAGAAGUGUAUACGAUUGGAAAGUUGUCUCAGCCCCUACAGAGCUAAGAGAGCAAGCAUGCUUUCCUGAUAGCAUCAAGAUAAUUGUCAACCACUCCAGUGACCUCAACAAUGCCAGCAGAAAUCUACAGACGCUUUCUUUCUGAUGAUUAAAAAAAUAAAAGGAGACGAUCUACAGGAACUGGUGUUAGAGAGCACUGAAGAGCACACCCAGGCUAGAGGCCAGGCUCUUCUCUUGUUGGCUGCACCUGAGGACUCCCCACCAGUACAGUUUCAACCAGCUCUAAAUUCCUCGGGUGUUGAAGAUUUCAUUGUGGAUAAAGUGCCUUUGAACAUAUCAGCUCAUAAACACCUCGUUUCUGUUCUGGCUCAAGAUGAAACAGUGGUUAUCCACAGGAAUAACUAG
rnacentral:lncRNA from 1 species